rnacentral:rRNA from 1 species
GACGAACGCUGGCGGCGUGCAUAACACAUGCAAGUCAAGGGGCCGCAAGGGCAACCGGCGAACGGGUGCGUAACACGUAAGCGACCUACCUCGAUGUGGGGCGAUAGCCGGCCUAACGGCCGGGUAAUUCCGCAUACGCUCUUGGAGGGGCAUAUCUCCGAGAUGAAACCAGCAAUGGGCAUUGAGAGGGGCUUGCGGCCUAUCAGCUAGUUGGUGAGGUAACGGCNCACCAAGGCUACGACGGGUAGCUGGUCUGAGAGGAUGGCCAGCCACAUUGGGACUGAGAAAACGGGCCCAGACUCCUACGGGAGGCAGCAGUGAGGAAUAUUGCGCAAUGGGCGAAAGCCUGACGCAGCGACGCCGCGUGGGGA